rnacentral:rRNA from 1 species
AACGAACGCUGGCGGCAGGCCUAACACAUGCAAGUCGAACGCUGAAGCAAUACAGAGUGGCAGACGGGUGAGUAACACGUGGGAAUCUUCCUAUCGGCACGGAAUAGCUCAGGGAAACUUGGGGUAAUACCGCAUACGCCCUUCGGGGGAAAGAUUUAUCGCCGAUAGAUGAGCCCGCGUCUGAUUAGCUAGUUGGUGAGGUAAUGGCUCACCAAGGCGACGAUCAGUAGCUGGUCUGAGAGGAUGACCAGCCACACUGGGACUGAGACACGGCCCAGACUCCUACGGGAGGCAGCAGUGGGGAAUAUUGGACAAUGGGCGCAAGCCUGAUCCAGCCAUGCCGCGUGAGUGACGAAGGUCUUCGGAUUGUAAAGCUCUUUUGGCGGGGACGAUAAUGACGGUACCCGCAGAAUAAGCCCCGGCUAACUUCGUGCCAGCCGCCGCGGUAA